GAGAGAGAUGAAAGAGAAAGGAUUGGGAGGAAUGAGAGAGGUGAGGUGAGUAAGGGUUUGGGGUUUCUUGUUUUUUUUUUUUGUUUUGUUUUGAGAAUGAAAAUUAUUUAAAUAUCUUUGACUUUAAAACAUAAAAUCCAUAACAUAUGAGGGUAUUUUUAUCUACUAUAACCCGGUACACAUUGUUAAAAUGUACCAAAUGAAAAACAGGUGUACGUG
rnacentral:lncRNA from 1 species